CCUACGGGUGGCUGCAGUGAGGAAUAUUGGUCAAUGGCCGCAGGGCUGAACCAGCCAAGUCGCGUGAGGGAUGACGGUCCUAUGGAUUGUAGACCUCUUUUGUCAGGGAGCAAAGGGCGCCACGUGUGGCGCUUUGCGAGUACCUGAAGAAAAAGCAUCGGCUAACUCCGUGCCAGCAGCCGCGGUAAUACGGAGGAUGCGAGCGUUAACCGGAUUUAUGGGGUUUAAGGGGUGUGCAGGCGGAAUGGCAAGCCAGCGGUAAAAUUUCGGGGCUAAACCCCGUCGUGCCGUUGAAACUGGCGUUCUUGAGUGAGCGAGAGGUAUGCGGAAUGCGUGGUGUAGCGGUGAAAUGCAUAGAUAUCACGCAGAACUCCGAUUGCGAAGGCAGCAUACCGGCGCUCAACUGACGCUCAUGCACGAAAGCGUGGGUAUCGAACAGGAUUAGAUACCCGGGUAGUC
rnacentral:rRNA from 1 species